GAAGUCCUGGGCACUCCCUCCCCUGGAGCUGGAGAAGUGAAGCCACGCAAACCCUGGCUUCAGUGCAAGAACCCUGAUGCAGGUCUUUCCCCUUAACCACAGUAAAAACCAAAGCCACCUGUGUCUUCAUUCAACUCACUUUGGACCAGCUUUGGUGCCUGCCUUGCUCUCCCCGGAAGCCCCUCUAUAGCUCACCAGGACUCUUCAAUGCCUUAAAAUGCCUCUGCUGCUGCUGCCCACACCUCUGUUGCAACACAGAUCCUGAUUCUCAAGAUCAUAGAGGACGAACUCCCAUGGCAACCUACGGCGUGGCCAGAGGAUACCACCACGCUACCGGAUAACUGUGAAGCAAACCGAAAAAGACUGAGCUGACUGAGUACCGAACCUUAUCAGUGUAUCACGUGAUCAAUUCAAACCCGACUUAAUCCCAAGGUGCCUAAACCCCAAAAACCAUUCACCAUGGGGGAGGCCCCUAACCCUGAUGGUACUGAUGUGGUACUCUCUGAAGAUGAGACUGACAGACAGUAUCAGGAUGGAGAGGACCCCCUCUCCCCCAUAGUGUACGCAGUAACCGAAAACCAAAGCAAAACAAAAUAAAACAAAACGACCUCUUCACAGAGUGGGAGGAAACAGGAGCUGUAGCAAGGGUCUGUGACUUGACCUAAUUGGAAAUUCAAAAUUUACUAAAAGAAUUUAUGCAAAAGAAAGAUAAAAAGGGUGCCUGGUGGCUAUUGUGUCACUACAAUAUGGGUUCUAAAUUAACUUUAAGAUCUGCUGAGAUGCACCAAUUGGCAAACCUUCAUGGUCUAAAUUGAUACUGGAGUUCGAGUAACAGUUACACCCGGAGAUCCUACUAAAUUUAAAGAAGGUACCCCCUAACUUUUAGAGUUACCAACCACAAAAUAAGGAGAAAGAGUUAUGCCUCACCUCGACUGUAAGAAGUAUUGCCUUGCAUAAAUUCCUAAGGGUCGUAGUGCCCAGUGCCCUAAACUAUCCCAUGGUGGGUGUGGAUAUUCUGACCCAUCAAGUCAUGAAAUAAAAUUAAGCCUUUGGCACCUACAAUUGGCUUAAUAAAACGGAGCUCCUUGGAGUCCUCUUCCCCCGCCCUCCAGGUUAAACAGUUAAUAUGGUCCACCAUAGAUUUAAACGGGGUCUGCAGAAAUUAAGACCCACCAUAAAAGACCUACUGAAGGAAGAGGUCAUUGUUCCUGUCGCCUGAUUUUGCUAAUGCUAAUCCUUAUAAAAAUGAAUGGUGCCUAACAGUGGGUCACAGCAAGCAUCUUAUUUUAGCAGAAUAACAAUAGAUUAUGUAAUGGGAAAAAAGAUCUCUAUCUCACAUUCUACACCAAAAUAAAUUCAGAUGAAGUAAAGAGCUCAUUAUAAAAAUGAAAUAAUAAAAAUUCUAGAAGGUCAUCUAGGUCAAUAUUUGGAUAGUCUUGCUUUGAGGAAAGACUUUUUUAGAAUGACACUAAACCAGAAAUCAUAAAGGAGAGAAAUGCUGGAUUUGCACACCUAAAUAAAAUUUCCUCAUAAAAUAAUAAAAAUAAACAGAAUUACAGGAAAAAAACCUGGGAACAUGUGUAUAUGACAAAAAAUUGAUACCUGUGAGUUACAAAUCUUCUUUACAAAGUACUUAUACAUAAAUAAAAAAGUAGACAAAUGAAGAGAACUCAUUAAAGAAAAAAUGGAAAUAACAUUAAGGAUAUAGUAUCUAUUUUUACUAAUAAAAAUGUAAAUUAAAGCAACAAUGUGACAGUGCUGUUACUGAAUCAAAUUGCUGAAUGCAGAGAAUUAUGAACAGAGCUUCAGCUUCGGGGCAGGCAGAUGGGAACUGUCAUAUGCUGCUGGUGGCAGGAUAAACUCAUAGGCCCUCCUUAAAGCCUACGUAUGAGUCCAGGUUCUCUAGAGAAACAGAACUAAUAGGAUGAAUAUCUAUCUAUAUGCAGAAAGAGCUUUAUUAUGAAGAACUGGCUCACGAGAUUACGGAGGCUGAUAAGUUCCAGGAUCUGCAGUCAGCAAGCUGGGGACCCAGGAGAGCUGAUGGCUGGGUCUAGUCCGAAGGCUGGCGAGCUGGAGACCCAGGAAGAGCUGGUGUUUCAGUUCCAGUCUGAAGGCAGGACAAAGCCAGGUACAGCUCGAUGUGUCAGUUCCAGUUCAAAGGCAGUUAGACAGGAGGGAUUUUCUCUUAUUCUGGGCAGGAUCAACUUUUUUGUUCUAUUCAGGCCUUCCACUGAUGGGAUGAGGCCCACCCACAUUAAGGAGAGCAAUCUCUUUUACUCAGUCUAUCAAUUUAAAUGUUAAGCUCAUCCAAAAGUACCCUCACAGAAACACCCAUAGUUAUGUAUGACCAAAGAUCUGGGCACCCUGUGGCCCAGUCAAGUUGACAUGUAAAAUUGACCAUAUAUAUAUAUAAAAUAUGCUAAAAGUGUGUGCAGUUUGAACCACAAAAUCUAUUUGUAAAAUUUAUUCUAAGGAAAUUAUUAACAGUAAAGGCAAAAAUUUAGUUCAAAAGUAUUUGCAAUAUGAUACAAUUUUUAUUUAAAAAACACAUAGGAAAAUAUCCAGAAGUAUAUAUACCUCACCUGUUAAUAUUAUUCUUCUCUGUUUGAUAGAAUUAAAGGUGAUUUUCUUUUCUUUUUUGCUUAUAUGUAUUUUCUGAUUAUUAUUAAACAAAUAUGAACUAGAUGUGUAAUAAAAUAUUUUUUAAAAAUAGGUAAGGGCCAGCCUGGUGGUACAGCAGUUAAGUUUGCACGUUCUGCUUUGGCGGCCUGGGGUUCACUGGUUUGGAUCCCAGGUGCAGACAUGACAUGGCUUGACAAGCCAUGCUGUGGCAGGUGUCCCGAUAUGGAGGAAGAUGGGCACGGAUGUUAGCUCAGGGCCAGUCUUCCUCAGCAAAAAGAGGAGAAUUGGCAGCAGAGGUUAGCUCAGGGCUGAUCUUCCUCAAAAAAAAGAAAAAUAAAAAAUAAAAAAUAGAUGAACUCUCACAUUUUGAUGCAUUUUUCUACUCUGUAUCUAUAUCUACCCAACAAAUUAAGUACACUGCUUUGUUCCUCUUAAUAUUUUAAUUAUACGUUAGACUUUGCCAUGGCAUUUAAAUGAUUUGAAAGCAUUGUUUUAAAUGUCUGCAUGAAGCUUCAUUGUUUGUAUAAACCAUCCUUCAUUUAAUCAUAUUCUAUUGUUAAACAAUGGGAGUAUUUAUAAUAGGGAAAAAUUGGAACCACUGCGUUGUAUAUAUAUUUUGAGCCAUAGUUGUGAAUAUCUUCUUAGGACAGAUCUCUGAAAGUGGAAUUACUUAAUCAAAUUUAAUUUUAAGCUUUUGAUAUGUGUUACGAAAUUGUCUCCUAGCUCAGCUCCAACUUAGGCUUUCUGCCUAACUGUUAUUGUCCCCAUCUUAGAGAUGAGGAGAGUAAGGCAUAGUGAUUAAGUGUUUUGUCUGAUGCCACAGACUCUGGCAUCACCCUGUCUGGAUCUAAUCCCAGCCCCACGAAUUGAGAAGCGGAUGACUUCCCAUUGUCCUGGGAUCUCAGAAUGGGUGGACAACAUGAAAGAGCCACAUUCAGGAGCAGCUGGAUACAUGAUAACAAUAAUAAUGGCGUAUUCCUCCAUAGAUUGAAGGGCGUCACCUCGUUGAAUUUAACGUGCCUCAAAGAUCUGCGUCUCCAUCCAGUUCGAUAGAUCCCUGUGCUAAAACAAAGAGAGGUUGCCAUCGUUGGGCUGUAUUUUCUUAUGUUUUUACUCAUUGAACAUUUGAAGGAAGCUAUGAAUAUUUACGCCCCUCAGAGUCAGUCCUACACCAAUGGAUCCCCAGGUCCUCCUUACUCUCACUUGUUCAAGAUUUGAAAUUUAAAAUGGUAUUUGUAGUUCAUUUUGUGACUUUAAUGUGUGAUUUGCACUGACAAUUUGUCUCCAUUAGAGAAGGGGAUGUGUUUGCCUGUGUGCUCACCACAGAGGAUUACCAGAUGAACAAGCGUUACCAUUGCAUCGUAUCUGCCACAGUUAUUAAGUGCCAACCAGGUAUUGAACUACGUGUUGACAGGCAUUGGGCAAAGCAUUGGUGACACAAAGAUAAAAGAGAAAACAUUUCUGCCCUCAAAUUAUUCACGGUCUAAUGGAGAACAAAGAAGAUGGACGAUUGUAGUGUAACAUAUGAAAAGUAAAAUUCAGAGAAUUUGGGGAACACCAAGAGGGGAUCAUGUCCAGUCUGGAGGACUCAAGAACAUGGGAGACCCCUUGCUGCAGAGUCUAACUUACUGCAGUGUCUACCAGUUCCAAGCUGUUUCUCAAGACCCUCUAGAGACAUUACCUAGAAGGAAUUAUAAGUCCCAAGCAUCACAAUGUUCUCAUUCCAUGAUCUGUUUUUG
ensembl:lncRNA